GCAUCAGAAGAUAGAAGAAGAAGAAGAAGAAGAAGAAGACUUCCUGGUGGUGAUGAACGGCAACGAGGCACAGUUAUGGGUGGAUGGAUGUAACAGGGGACAAUCAAUACUGAUGAGACUGGGUUGUAGAAGCAAAAAUAGUUGAAGUAAAACUAACCAAGACAGAGGGAUGAAAGAUCUAAAUGAAGGAAGAGUACAAGGGAGAACCCAAAUGAAACAGAGAUAGGAAACAAUCUCAGAGAGAAGGGCUUUCCCCCGGAAGAUGUAGUUAAGAGAAUAAUGAAGAGUUGUUAUGCCAACCGUUGGUUAUCUCAUAUCUCAUAUACGUAUGUGUGUGUGUGUUUAGCUUUGUUAAUUACAUUAGUCUUAGAUGAUGAAAUAAAAGAAACUGUCUUCCUU